UUAGUACAAUGUCGAAAUUUAAGUUAAGAUUGAUUUUGUCUUGUUUAAUUAGCUUAAAUUAGAUAAUUUUAUAUACAAAUUUUUAUGCGAUGAAAUAUUUUCUUAAUGAUUAUUAUUUAUUUAUAAUUGUAGUUUUUUAUAUUAAUAUUUAUGGGAACAUAGAUUUAGUUAAUUGAUUGAAGGGUUGUAAAAAGUUGUGCCAGCAUACGCGGUUACACAAUUGAUUCAAGUUAAUUUUUUUGGUUUUUAUUUAUAUU
rnacentral:rRNA from 1 species